UAUAAAAAAAACGCUUUGACAGCACUUGGUGCACUACCGGUGCACCACCAGAAUGAAAACGAAUAUGGCAUUAGUUUGCCUUCGAACCAGAAUUCUGUCAGUUGCAUUGGAUGCAACCAAAUGUGGACGCUUUGUGACAAUCAAAUUAACCACCGAAAAACAACACCUUAGUAAUGGCACAGAAACCCAGACUGCCUUCGGAAUCGAACGUACUCAUGAGUAUGAGGACAUCACAUCAAUUUAACCCCAGCUUCAGACGAUUUUAUUAUUAACAGUUCCGCCUGUAACACGACCAACAAAAAUGAAGGAGAAGGUGCGACUUUGAAGAUCUGGGAAUUCAGUAAAUCGUUGAGGUACCCUUGAAUAAGGUUUUUUUGUAGUAGGAAAAAAAUGUGUGAUCAGGAAAUAACGAAAAUGACUAGGACGAAGAGUGUUAUUUUCAUCAAUGAAGUGCUCCGAUUGCUGCUGGCUGCGUUGGGUGACAAGCAAUCGAUUCUGGCCAGGAGUUGGCUUGCGUUUCUGUUUCGGUAUUCAAGGCAAUUGCAAAACCUGGAUUUAGGCCCAAGUCGUUGUUAUAUUGUGUUUGUGUUGAAUCUUUUGAGUGUUAAAACUGUUUUUCU